GACAGAGGGUGCAAACGUUGUUCGGAAUUACUGGGCGUAAAGCGCGUGUAGGCGGCAAGGCAAGUCGGAUGUGAAAGCCCACGGCUCAACCGUGGAAGUGCACCCGAAACUGCCUCGCUAGAGUCUCGGAGAGGAAGGUGGAAUGCUUGGUGUAGAGGUGAAAUUCGUAGAUAUCAAGCGGAACACCGGUGGCGAAGGCGGCCUUCUGGACCGGUAUUGACGCUGAGGCGCGAAAGCCAGGGGAGCAAACGGG
rnacentral:rRNA from 1 species